GCUAUUCUGGAGUUGUGAUGCUCACAAGUCACAAUUUUUUGUGAGGUUAUUUUUGUGAGGUUUCUUAUGAGGUUGUCACAAUUUCGUAUUCUGCAAAAAACCUCAUAAGAAACCUCACAAAAAUUCACCACAAUAGGGUGAUGUGAAAUUUGACUUUUGAAAAGUAGUCCAGCAAAGCGAGCGUCCAAUUUCACAGAAGAAAAAUUCAAUUGUUCCAGCUCCCAAUUAAAAGGAUACCUGCGAAGUGAGAACCGUAUGUAAGGAAUAAAACUAGCUGAAACAGUCAAGAACCGCGUUUAUCUCGAUCUACACGUAUGUAAUAAAAAGCCCGAUGACAUCUUCACAGAAGGAGGACGUGUGCAGAAGGUUACACUGACGGUGGAGUUGUGGCUGCAGAGCCUAAGAAUGAAAACCAAUGGCAAGACAACGCAUCUGUUUUCUUCUUGGACAAUUCGAGUGCCUCCGAUGAAAACUGUGAAGAUGACGACUUUGAGAAACGUAAUAACAUAAUGCAAGUUAUCUACAAAUGCCUAACACAGAGAUGAUCGUCGAUUGCCGUCACUUCUUCCUCAUGUCGCAGUAAACAAUGAUCAGCAGCAAAAGAGUUUUCUGAAUCCCUUUUGACUCAGUGAUUGGUGAGAGAUUUGCGUGGAAAAGUUAAACAAACGCCACAACAUAAAAAGGACUGAAGAGAGCUUGGAGGCUUUCAAGCGCAUGUCGCUCAUUCUCAUGCUUAUACAACUGAAAAAAGUCAACCACCAUUUGAAACUGGCAUAGAACGAGCUUAGACAAUUAUAUCACUGCGCACUCCAAUUAUCAUCAUCUUAGAAAAUAUGCUUAGGAUCCAAACAGUAGACCAUACAGAUAAUUCGAUGGCUGCUUAUCCACGACCCACCGCCGAAGGUUAACAAAUAUUGUACCACCAUCAAAUUUCCAGGCAAAUAAACUUCAAGAAAUGCUGUGACAUGCUCUCGCCAACUUCAAGAAAUGCUGCGACAUAUGCUUUCGCCAACCCUCAAAGUAAAGUCUAUACGCAUUUAGUUGCCGAUUGUCUGCAUCAAGAGGUGAAGAAGUACUGGAGCAUACCUAUCAUGUGGGAUUGAGCACCAAUCUUCUUAUCGAUGUCGAAAUUAUUACCAUCGCUUAUGAGAUUACAAAUGAGAUUCUCCGCAUAUGGGAGAUUUAUUAUAAAUGUCCUUAGAAACAAUUCUAAUGAAUCAGAUUUAAGGUAUAACUACAUUGGCUCAAAAAGUGAAAAAGUACAAAAGUGAAAAUUUUCAAAUGCAUUUUUGUGUAGUUUUUCGGGCUGGAAAAUUAAAACUAAUGAUGCAGAAAGCUUAUUUUUUGGUCUAAAAAACAAUUUGUAUACUCUUUUUCACAAAACAAUUGCGCUAGCGAGAAAAAAAAUAUUUUCACUUUUGUACUUUUUCAAAAAGUGGUGUAUGUAGUUAAGCCUUUAGAAUCCUUGGUUCGCCAGAAGAAAGAACUAUUGUUUUGUGCUAAAAAUGCUAUUCAAAUAAAAAAAAGUAUAAUUUUA